AAAUCUAAAAAAAAUAUACACAUUUUUGUGUAAAAUAAUUUAUGAAAUAUAUGUAUCAAGUUUUUUAAAUUCGUUAUAUAUAAUGUGAACAAGUUGGGUCUUAACAUGCCUUAAAAGUCCUUUAAAUAUUUUAGAUUCAUUUAAAAAAUUAACAUCAAAGCAAAAUUAUAAUUACAUUAAAUAUUAAAGAUCCAGAAAUAUUGAAUGUAUACUAAAUAAAAGUGCGAUCCUUAAGUCGAUUCUAUUUUAAUAUACUUACAUACAUUUAUCACAAUACCUUGAAGUGUAUAAGUAUAUGUGAUUGGAUGCAUGCAUAUACAUAUAUAUUUCUACGGCGGAUAUAUAAAUACAUUUGUACAUACAUAUGUCUAUUUAAUGCACGUAAUAAUAUGCAAAAUUGUCUAUUUCAAUAGAGGACCAAAUAAUUUAGUAUUCAUAUUCAGCUACGAAUAAUUGACGUUAAAUAAAAAUAAACAUAUAUAUUUAUUCAAUGCGUCGUAUGUAUGAAUAAAAGUAGAAAAUAGUUUUUGCCAUGCUACUCGUGAAUACUAUUGCAUAUGAACAUAUAUUUUAUCAUCAGCCUUUAAGGGUAUAUGUGAUCUAUGGUGUGAAAGGCUUCUAACUGGUGAGGAAGUAAUUGCCCAAUAUUUAAAAAAAUUAAGGUACCGACUCGAAGUAAGUUUGUUAAUUCUGAGUGAUGCAUUACUGUUGCCACUUGCCUAUUUUCAUCUCUUUCGACAAAUACUCGUCUAUGAACGAAAACACAAUGCUCUCUUAUUGCACAAGGUAAAUGAAAAACUUGGGUACAACGAUUUUUAAAACAGCGUACUGUGGCACCAAUUUGUUGACAUCCGCUACACGAUUGAUUAAGGCCCAUCUGUAAAGCUGCUGGAAAGUUCAUAAGGCCACCACUUAUAGUCUCAUACACUUCGCUGGACCAUAGAGCGCAAUUUAAAUGUACCUAGAAUGAUAGUGAAUUAUUAUAAAUAAUAUUACAUAUUAAUGUACUUAUUUUAAGAAAUGUAAUCCAUAAAAGUGACAAUUGUAAUUUUGGUAA